UUCCAGCUCCAGUAGCGUAUAUAAAAGUUGUUGCAGUUGAAAAGCUCGUAGUUGGAUUUCUGGCUCGGAACGGCUGGUCCGCCGUAUAUGCGGUGCGUACCGGUUCGAUCCAGCCAUCCUUCCAAGGACCUCUCCUGCCCUUCAUUGGGUCGGGUGCAGGCACUUGGAUCGAUUACUUUGAAAAAAUUAGAGUGUUCAAAGCAGGCGUUUGUCUUGAAUACAUUAGCAUGGAAUAAUGACAUAGGACUUUGGUUCUAUUUUGUUGGUUUCUAGGACUGAAGUAAUGAUUGAUAGGGAUAGUUGGGGGUGCUAGUAUUGUGCGGCCAGAGGUGAAAUUCUUGGAUUCGCGCAAGACUAACUAAUGCGAAAGCGUUCACCAAGGAUGUCUUCAUUG
rnacentral:rRNA from 1 species